UACGAAGGGGGCUAGCGUUGCUCGGAAUCACUGGGCGUAAAGGGUGCGUAGGCGGGUCUUUAAGUCAGGGGUGAAAUCCUGGAGCUCAACUCCAGAACUGCCUUUGAUACUGGGGAUCUCGAGUCCGGGAGAGGUGAGUGGAAUUGCGAGUGUAGAGGUGAAAUUCGUAGAUAUUCGCAAGAACACCAGUGGCGAAGGCGGCUCACUGGCCCGGUACUGACGCUGAGGUGCGAAAGCGUGGGGAGCAAACAGG
rnacentral:rRNA from 1 species